GGGAUCAAGACAAUCUGCUGGGGUCUUCGAUAUUUGGGGCCAUCCUCUCAGAAACUGCCAGUACCUUAUCCGUCCUGUGAGACUCUAAUCAAUAAAUUCAACCUACAGACACACAGUGCCAGUUCCUAAGCUUCUAGUCAAUGCAGUUCUAUGUUUGAGCAUAAUACUAGAGCACCCAAGCUGGUUCUAUCUGGCUAAUACUGCACACUUGGGAUUUUGUGCAGUGGUGUUGGGAGAGAGAUUCAAGACAAAUGCAGAAGAUGGGCUUUUCUUAAGGUGGGUAACCUCAAAGACCCUGUUCAAAUUAAGGCUUUGCAACCCCAAACCCUAUACUUCUAAGUGUGAACCAGAACUAAAUUUGCUCUUUUUUCCUAUUGUAGGGAAUACUAGAGAAGAUUAUCUUGAUACUGAAUAUGGUCAGAGAAGAACAGAAAAGAGUAAAAUCUGUCUCAGAAUUUGUGCCUCCAAAAAUGUAUAAUAGAUGUUGAGAAAUGGGAAGAAAAUGUUCAAAUGAGAAGGGGAACAAUAGAUGGGGGAGGGGAAAAGAAAAGAAGGGACAAGAAAAAAGAGAAUAGAAGGGAAAAAGUGGAAACAAAGCUUUUAUAAAUAAGAAGGGGAAGAAGGGUUGAAAGGUGGGGAGAGGGAUGGGAAAAAAAGAAGCAAGAUAUACAGGCACAAAUUUCCUGUGGAGAAUGUUAUCACUAUAUGCAUCUAAAAUGUACCAAUAAAUGUUUUGCUUAAAAAAGAAUUUGUGGUUCUAGAUCAGUCCUGAGAUGGUACCUGGAUGGAAUGGAAAAUGAAGCUGUGAACUUAUUCUGAGAUCAUUAGAUGAUAAUCAGUGGGGGAGUCAAAGAUGAUCAGGUAUGCAAGAAAAUAAGACCAUAUGACAAAUAACAAUAGAAACAACCAACUCCAGUAACAUACUUAUACAGACUUCAGAUACUGAUAAGUUGUUAAAAAAGUGCAUAAUAAAAAGGCUGCAAACUAUCUG
rnacentral:lncRNA from 1 species